UAAGGAAUAUUGGUCAAUGGACGCAAGUCUGAACCAGCCAUGCCGCGUGGAGGAUUAAGGCCCUCUGGGUUGUAAACUCCUUUUAUCUGGGAAGAAAUGUACUUUUUCUUGAGUACUUGACGGUACCAGAGGAAUAAGCACCGGCUAACUCCGUGCCAGCAGCCGCGGUAAUACGGAGGGUGCAAGCGUUAUCCGGAUUCACUGGGUUUAAAGGGUGCGUAGGUGGGCAGGUAAGUCAGUGGUGAAAUCUCCGGGCUUAACCCGGAAACUGCCUGUGAUACUAUUUGUCUUGAAUAUUGUGGAGGUGAGCGGAAUAUGUCAUGUAGCGGUGAAAUGCUUAGAUAUGACAUAGAACACCAAUUGCGAAGGCAGCUUACUACACAAUCAUUGACGCUGAGGCACGAAAGCGUGGGGAUCAAACA
rnacentral:rRNA from 1 species